UGUGAAUGCUCCAACGCUGGAAGUUUUUAAGAAGAGAUUAGACGGCCACUCGUCUGAAAUAGUACAGGGUUGCCUGCCUGAGCAGGGGGUUGGACUAGAUGACCUCCAAGGUCCCAUCCAGCUCUGUUCUGGUAGAUUGAACUGCAAUGUUCCCAGCUGAGGUCAAACGAGGUGACACUCUGCCACCUUAGCACUCAUACAAUGAGAUUAUUACUGCAAUUAAAAUACUUAACCCCCCCCCAAAUUAUAUUCCCAGCCAAACUUUGGUUUUUCCACCCCAAACUUUCAUGCUUGAAAAUACGAAAUAUUUGAAAAUAUGAGAGCUGGUGUCCUUUUUUGAAUAUUGGUAACAGCAGUAGAAAAAGUUUAGAAUCGCAAUAAACUGGGCUUUUUAAAUCAAUAUCAUUGCCGGGAUUGUGAGUUGAAAACAGUAAGGGGUCAUCCCUAGUUUAACCCUUCCACUAACACAGUAAUAGGAUGGAAAGUUGCCUUGUUUACACUCUUUCUACCUAAAACUGGGUGACCAUUUUCAAGGAUGCAUUGGGCCUUCUUCGAAACAUAGGCCCUUAACUGGAACAAAAUGGAGUAGUAUAUAACCAUUGCCAGCAAAGUUUUCAUUUUUUUUUUCCUUUAUACAUUGUCUUUAUUAUUUUUUUUUCUUUUGUCUUUUCUCUUUUCUUGCUUCUUUGCCUUCCUCUUUGCUUUCUUCCUUUUUCUUCUUUUCUUCCUCUUUUUUUUAUCAAUCUUUUUUAUUAUUUUUUUCCCCAUCAACAUAUGUUAAUUUUUCCAUUCAACAAGUGGUCUAGAGUUCAGCAAAGUUUUCAGAUGUACUCAGUCAUGGGUAACAAAGAGCUUGAAAGCACGUUAAAAAUUAACAUUAGUUUUGUUGUGGUGAGUGUCUAUGCAACAGACGGCUAUAUUCCAAUAACUGUCUCCACGUAAAUCAGUUUUCUCUAGAUGCUAUUCAAAGCUCUGACUUUUGCAGUAGCAACCUGAGAAAUACAUGAAAUUGAAGAAGAAGAAAAGCAACCGUCGAAUUAAAAAAAAACAGCUGGCUUUUCUCUUGAAUCAAAGCACCCUCUGGUUCCUGAAUCAGAAUGGCAAAAAAAGCUCAAGAGGAUGCUGUCAUCAAUCUCCAGUCCCUCAGAGAUCUUGGCAAGCAACUGAGCUUCGAGUGGCCCAUGGUGGCCUAUGAACUGGGAUUCACACGUGCUGAAAUUAGCCAUAUCCAUGCCCUCACCCCGGAGAAGAGGAGUCAAGCCCAAAAGAUGCUGGAACACUGGUAUGAACGGUCGUGCAACAAACUGAACAGGACAAAGCUGCUUCAAGAGGCUUUGGAAAAAUCGGGCAGACAAGACUUGGCCGAUAGGCUUCGUUGUCUCCACUGGGGCCAUCAGAAGCUGAGCGAUAAGGUGGAGCUGCCCUCGGCGUUCCCCUUUCUCAUCACUGUGUAUAAGACGACGAACAACAAAGAGCAGCUCAAGAAAAUUAACCAGCUUACUCAACGGUAAACCAGCCACCUCCCCAAAUCCUCAACUCAAGAGCCAAGCUGAGCUCAACAGAACUCUUUAAAAAAGUUAAGAAUAGGAUAUACUCCCACAAGAACAAGAAGUCCGUUUUAUACGUCAGUCGGGACCCUUCUGUAUGAUCAACUGCUGUUUGAUUUUUAUUUUAUUUUUUUUUUCAAUUUUUAAAGUUUGAAUCCAGGAGAUCUGAAUUUAAAACAAAAAAACAAAAAACCAGCAACGUAAUUUAAAAUAAAAUCCUAUGAAUUGCAGUUGGGAGAAGCUGUAGGUUUCCUGAUAGAUUUAAUGCAACAGAUGGAAUGCAAAUUGUACCUGGUGGAUUUUAAUAAAAGCACCCAGAAAUGGAAUUUAAAAUUUAAAA